rnacentral:rRNA from 1 species
GACGAACGCUGGCGGCGUGCUUAACACAUGCAAGUCGAACGGUGAAAGAAGAGCUUUCUCUUCUGGAUCAUUGGCGAACGGGUGAGUAACACGUGAGUAACCUGCCCCAGACUCUGGAAUAAGCGCUGGAAACGGCGGCUAAUACCGGAUACGAGACAUAGCUGCAUGGCUACUGUCUGGAAAGGUUUUCGGUCUGGGAUGGACUCGCGGCCUAUCAGCUUGUUGGUGAGGUAACGGCUCACCAAGGCAACGACGGUUAGCCGGCCUGAGAGGGCGACCGGCCACACUGGGACUGAGACACGGCCCAGAAUGCAACGGGAGGCAGCAGUGGGGAAUAUUGCACAACGGGCGAAAGCCUGAUGCAGAGACGUCGCGUGAGGGAUGACGGCCUUCGGGUUGUAAACAUCUUUCAGCAGGGAAGAAGCGAACGUGACGGUACCUGCAGAAGAAGCACCGGCUAACUACGUG